rnacentral:rRNA from 1 species
UACGUAGGUCCCGAGCGUUGUCCGGAUUUAUUGGGCGUAAAGCGAGCGCAGGUGGUUUAUUAGUCUGGUGUAAAAGGCAGUGGCUCAACCAUUGUAUGCAUUGGAAACUGGUAGACUUGAGUGCAGGAGAGGAGAGUGGAAUUCCGUGUGUAGCGGUGAAAUGCGUAGAUAUAUGGAGGAACACCAGUGGCGAAGGCGGAUUACUGGACGGCAACUGACGGUGAGGCGCGAAAGCGUGGGGAGCAAACAGG